rnacentral:lncRNA from 1 species
AAACACUAGAUCCGCGAGACAGUCUUACAAAAGAUUUUGAGCAACUUGCGUUGACAUCUCGUUUCGAUAUAAACCUUUUCAGGACCCGAGGACAGAAAACAACCCGUACCUCGGAUUCAUCUACACAUCCUUCCAAGAAAGGGCUACGUUCGUGUCCCACGGAAACACAGCCCGACAUGCCCGGGAGCAUGGGGACAUCAAGCUGGCUCAGAUAUGCGGCACCAUCGCCUCAGAUGAGAAGCGCCACGAAACUGCGUACACCAAGAUAGUGGAGAAGCUGUUCGAGAUCGACCCCGAUGGGACCGUGCUAGCUUUUGCCGACAUGAUGAAGAAGAAAAUCUCCAUGCCCGCCCACUUGAUGUACGACGGCCGUGAUGACAGCCUCUUCGACCACUUCUCGGCCGUCGCCCAACGCCUCGGCGUCUACACAGCAAGAGACUACGCCGACAUUCUAGAACACUUGGUUGCACGAUGGAAAGUUGAAAAUAUAACGGGGCUAUCCGCGGAUGGGCAGAAGGCUCAAGAAUACGUCUGUGGAUUGCCUCCGAGAAUCAGACGUCUGGAGGAGAGAGCUCAAGGGAGGGCCAAGCAGGCGCCGAAGAUCCCGUUCAGCUGGAUAUACGACAGAGAAGUGCAACUCUGAACGCGACUUGCUUGGAACGAGCUUCUCGCACAAGCUCUUUAGCUGGCUGCGAUUGUAACUAUCGUUAAGAAAAGCAACGCUGCGCUUGCAGUUUGUCUUCGUAGUUUUCGUAUUGUUGAGAGAAUUGUGUUUUAGGAGAUGAAGCAGGGUGUAGAUACCAGUUUGUUGCUAUUUGUUGUGUUGCUAAAUCUUCACAAGUAUGUUUUUGGUGUAGCUUUUUCAAGACUGUAAACUGCAGGAUGUUUUGUGAGGCAAUUUUGAUUUGCGAAAUAAGUAGUUUUCUGCUCAAAUUGUGAUUAGGUGAGUAAUAUGUUUGGAGAAUUUUCUUUUCAUCUUCUUCUUUGCCAUUUUUAUAAAUAUAAGUGUAUAUUAGUUGUGUUGCUAAUCUAGGAAAGAGACACUUCAGCUAGAAGGCUGUGUGCUUCUUGCUCAAAGGGACAGAAGAAAUAAAAAGACACGGAGAUCAACCUUAGGUUGAAAAGCCUUGGAAGAGAAGAGAGAAUGGAGGAGAGAUAAUACCCGAUUAUGCGACCAUUGAUUGAGAAAUCCUGUUCCAUGAAUGAGAUCGAUUGCAAAAACAGCAGCUCUUCUGCUCGUCAUCCUUAAUCGGCGGUGAGAUUUAAUGUGAAGAAAGGGAGAGUGUUGGGCGACGCUUGCGAGAUUAGUUUGUGAUUGAAUCUGAAAAUAAUGUUUGGGCUCAAACUAUUUGGGCUACUAGAAAAAUAACUACUAAGAUAGUAAACAUAAUAAAUGUUUUCUUACAUUUUUUAAAAUGUAGUGCAUCUAUAAUUAUUUUAGUUUUCUUAUUUUAAUUAUUUUUCUUAUUUUAAUUUUGAAAUAAAGUAUUUAACUUUGAAAUAAAGUAGCCACUUACCAUAAUAUGUUGGAUCACUACACAAUUCCAUUGUAUUUUCUAAUGUAUACUUUUUUUUUGACUUGUAUUUUCUAAUGUAUACUUGAGAACUUUUAAUUAUACAGUGCAGUUCCUUCCUUCAUUUGUCUUUAAAAAAUACUAAAAUAACCUUAUUUCUUUCGUAAUAACCUAUUUGUAUGUAAAUAAAAAAUAUAUAGUUACAUUUGAUAGUUUCAAUUAUGCAAUGGCGUCUAUGAGUGAAAUUUUGUUUGUAAUAUUAAGUUAAACAAUUCUUUUCAUCGCUCUUAUUCAAAUUUGUAUUAUAAUUUUGUUGUAGAUCAGUUUGUAAUAUUUAAUAUUGUAGUUAUAAGGCAUAUUAUUAUUUGUUAAUUUUAUAUUGCAUGUGUUUUUUUAUGAUAACUUGGUACAUAAACAUCCUUUGUGGAUUAGUACAUGAUACUAAUUAUAAAUAAUCUGCUGCAAUAAUAAUGGAUUAAAUAAAAAAAGUAGAAGCAUAUGCUAAGAGUCUCUUUUCGCGCAUUUCUUCUAAGAAAACCACUAUAGUAAUCUCUCUCUUAGGUUAACUAGUAUUUUCUCAUGUGCUAUGCACGAAAUGAAAAUAUAGCAAUAUUAUACAAUGUAAAUAAAAUAUACAUUUUCUUGAGAAAAAAAAGCAAUAAUAAUACCUGGAAUCUAUAUCUAUAAUAUAUAAAAGAUUGUAGUUUUUUUUUUUCCUUCUUUUUCUAUUUCUUCUUCCACCAAAAUUUUCACUAUUNUUUUUAACCUUUUUAUAUUGUAAUUAUUAUUUAAAUGUCAUCAAAUUUGAUCAUGAAAAAAAUAAUCAAUAUGUAUCUCAAAUUCAAUAUAGUAUAAAAAUCAUAAAAAAUCAAUAAGUUAUGGAAAUAUUAGAAUAUUUUAUUUUCUUUCUCUUCAUUAAAAAAUUUAUAACUUUUUAUUUACGUUUGUAUAAAAAUAUUUAUUAUGAUGAAUAGUAUAUACACAGUGCAAAUUUUUAUUAUCGAAUACUUUUUAAAUUUAUUUAAUAACUUUAAUUAACAUUACACUUUGUAUAAAUUGAAUAUGAGAAAAAUUUUGAAGUAGCCAAAAUGAAGCAUAAAACACAAUUUAUGGCCACACAUUGAAAAAACACAAAAUUUGGCCAUUUUUUUUUAUUUGGACGUUUUUACCCUUAAUGAAGCGGACCGGGUAGGAUCAGGCACGCGGGUCGCAUGCCGGGUCGGGUUAGGCACUUAUGGCACUAUUAGUGCCUAGUGCCAUAAGUGCCAAGAUUUUACUUUGGUUUUAUUUUGGAUUUCCGUUGGCACUUAUGGCACUAAUAGUGUCAUAAGUGCCAAAAUAAAACCAAGUAAAAUAGUCAUUAUAUGUGCAGCACAAAUAUAGAAACAACAUCAUUUAAACCCUAAAUGGAACAUCUAAACCCCAAAUGGAUAAUCUAAACCCUAAAUGGAAUAUAUAAACCCUAGGGGGAAGUGUGCACUUAUGGCACUAAUAGUGCCAUAAGUGCCAUACAUACAUCACAAAUACAGAUCAGAUCAGAUCUGUUGAUGGCUGAAAUCGAAGGAGGCGGAGAUCAGAUCUGCCGAUGGAGGAGGCGGCGCAACGAUCAGAUCAGAUCCACCUCCAUACCCUAGAUCCCCAAAUCCAGCCCCCCAUUUUCCUUCAAUUUCAUAACAAUAGCAACCCAACACCGCCAGCGCUGCCUUCUAUCCCACUCGACACACACCCAAACCAGAUGCUAGAGGAAAAAUCAGCGGUGGUCGCGGCGGCAAAGCCCUAGCCCCAAAUCGGCUGCGGCGGCAAAGAGCAUACCCGCGCGUGCCGACGAGGUUGGCGACAGGGCCUUCAAACAGAGAGAGAGAGAGAGAGAUCUGCUUCAGUGAGGGUGUUGUGUUUUUGGAGGGAGAAGAGGUGAGAGACGAGAGAGGGAGUUGAGAGGGUGACGGGCGAGGGGUGGCCGGCAGUUGUGGCUGACGGCGGUGCUCUCCACCGGGGAAGAAGGGGGCGGCGUCAGUCUUGGUGUGUGUUGUGUGUUGAGAGAGAGAGAGAGAGAGAGAGAGAGAGAGAGAGAGAGGGAGAGAAAGAUGAGGAAAGCAAGCUGGAUCCGACGGUUCAAAGAAAAUUGAGUUGGAUCUGCUAAGUUAAAAGGGUAAAUUAGGUAUGACACAUAAAAGAUGGCCAAAUAUUGUGAUUUUUCAUUUUGUGGCCAAAAUUUGAGUUUCCAUCUUCAAUAGGGCCAUCCGGCCCUAUUGUUUCUUGAAUAUAUAUAUUUUUAAAUUCAGGAUUUUAUUGACACUACAAGAAAACGCGGCUCUAACGACCGAAUUUUCGGUUGUUAAACUCGAAAAUUCGGUCGUUAAAGUCUUAACGACCGAAACAACGACCGAAAACUACAAUAAUGUACAAUUUUUAGAUUUAAUUAUAUCAACUCUGUUGUACAUUAUGAGUUUCAACUCUGUGGACCAAUUCGGCUUUAUUUUGGACGAAAAUCUCAAUCUUGAUGAAAUUACAUGAAUUGUUAAGUUUGUGUAUUUUUGUCACAAUUUUAAAGUUGGUGUGCAAAGUCAAAAAUCGAUUAGAAUUGGUGUAUUUUAACGCCAAUAACCCAAUAUUACACUUGGAACAUAUAUGUGAGCAUAUUUUGGUCAAGUACCUCAUGAUUACUUAGUCAUUUUUCAGUAAGUUUCUUUCAAUUUUUCCUUUCAUUCGAUUUUGGAGUUCCUUGAUGUCAGAUCUUGUAGUGGGACCCUUACUUCUACUGCAUUGAAUCUCUCUCUCUCUCUCUUAGUUGGUGCCACCAUAAAUAUGCUGACAUGGUUCUUCAGGUUUUGUUUAGGGGUUAUUGCCAGAAAAUACAUAUACUUUGUCUAAUUUUUUGGUUUAUAUCAUGACCUUAUAAUUUGGACCAAAAAAUACAUCAAUUUUCAAUUUAAUUGCAAUUAUAACAUGACUUUAUAGUCUGGCCAUAAAAUACACCAAGUUUCAAUUUAUUCUCGAUUCUAACAUGACCUUGUAAUUAAUUUAGUAUAAUAAUACCAAGUUUAAUACAUUAAAUAUUUUUAAUUUUCUUUUCAUCUCACAAUAUACUAUAUAUAAAUACAUAUAUAUUUUAUAGGAUAAAUAGAUAAAGGUUUACUUUGUGUGAUAGGAUAGAUAGAUAAAGGUUUACUUUGUGUGAUAGGAUAAAUAGAUAAAGAUAAUCCUUCAUAUACUCAAAUCAUAUGUUAUCUAUCUUAUAUCCUAUUGUCACAAAGUAAACGGCCCCGUAACUUGAUGACAAAUACCCUUCGCCAUGAGGAAAAACAGAGUGAGAGAUGCUACUGAUCUCGGGCGAAUUUUUCAUAAACUGGUGAUUUUGCUUUUGGCGUUGUAAUGCAAAUGCUUUUGUCCGUUUACAAAAACAAUGUUGUGGUGAAGGGCUAUCUUUGCAUUUGCUGCUAGUAUUCUUGGGAAUGUUUACGACUUGAAUUGAAGUUUAGAUCUUGACAAAUUGUGCAAAUCAUGAUACUUCAAGUGAACUUCCCUUACAAUGUUUUCAAUUUUUUUACAGGGAAGCUGAGACUGCGAAGAAGCCUUUUAGCGCUCCUCGUGAGGUUCACGUUCAAGUCACGCACUCGAUGCCCCCUCAAAAGAUCGAGAUCUUCAAAUCUAUAGAAGGCUGGGCCGAGGACAAUCUACUGGUUCACCUUAAACCAGUUGAGAAGUGUUGGCAGCCUCAGGAUUUCUUGCCAGAUCCCGCCUCGGAUGGAUUCCAUGACCAGGUCAGGGAAUUGAGAGAGAGAGCUAAGGAGAUUCCCGACGAUUAUUUUGUUGUUCUGGUUGGAGAUAUGAUCACCGAGGAAGCCCUCCCGACGUACCAGACAAUGCUCAACACCUUGGAUGGCGUGAGGGAUGAAACGGGGGCGAGCUUAACUCCUUGGGCAGUCUGGACGAGGGCGUGGACUGCUGAGGAGAAUAGGCACGGAGAUCUUCUUAAUAAGUAUCUUUAUCUCUGCGGGAGAGUAGACAUGAAGCAAAUCGAGAAGACUAUCCAAUAUCUCAUCGGGUCGGGAAUGGUAACUAACUUCGUUUCUCGUUUGUCUAAAUCUAUGAAUAACUCUUACUUGAUUAUCUACUUGCUUGUGAGUCGUGUCAAUCAUUGUAACUUGGUCCCGAAUUUGUGUAGACUGUCUCACGGGUCAAGAUUCAGAUUGAAACACUAGAUCCGCGAGACAGUCUUACAAAAGAUUUUGAGCAACUUGUGUUGACAUCUCGUUUCGAUAUAAACCUUUUCAGGACCCGAGGACAGAAAACAACCCGUACCUCGGAUUCAUCUACACAUCCUUCCAAGAAAGGGCUACGUUCGUGUCCCACGGAAACACAGCCCGACAUGCCCGGGAGCAUGGGGACAUCAAGCUGGCUCAGAUAUGCGGCACCAUCGCCUCAGAUGAGAAGCGCCACGAAACUGCGUACACCAAGAUAGUGGAGAAGCUGUUUGAGAUCGACCCCGAUGGGACCGUGCUAGCUUUUGCCGACAUGAUGA